ensembl:snoRNA SNORA73 Small nucleolar RNA SNORA73 family
AUAACAAGCUAUUUGUGUAUAAUAUACAAUAGUAUAGUCCAGGUGGCAUAGGGGAACAUAGGGCUCUGCCCCAUGAUGUACAGUCACUUUCCACGAUGUUGGAGAAGAAGCUGGACCUUGUGUCUGCGCCUGCAUAUUCCUACAACUUCUCAGAGUCCUUUGGGCAGUGACUGAGGAGAUAAACCAUGCAGGAAACAAUG